UCAACGUAAAGAGAGGUCAUUGUAAUUUACCUUUUUAAUAAGGGUAUUUCUUACAAAUUUUUUUUUUUUUUUGGGCACUUUCCCAUAUGAUAAUUCAAAUUUGAGGUUUUGUUUCUCCUAGCUAUUCUCAACCUCGGAAAUAUCCCUAGAACACAAUUGUUUAUGUGAGAUCUCCUCAACCCAGUAAACUUCCCCUGUUAACUUCCUUUUAUACUUUGUUAGAUUGAUCGGAUUGAUCGCAAAAUUGAAAGGGUCCUGAUCUGCAUCAAUUUAGAGGUGGCCUGGCUUGAAAUUUUUGACGCUGCCUUUUGUUGGAUCGAAUGAAAGUCCCUUCUUUUCAAAAUUUAUAAGCAAGUGGAAAAAUUUGCAGAUGUUAAGGGUUGGAUGCCCCCAUAAUAUGAAAUCAAUCCUUACCCAAGUCAACCUUCAUUGCAAGAAUUUUGUUGAUUUCGGUAUUUCAAGAGGCUACAUUAAGGAAGAUGAAUCAAGAGGCCACAUUAAGGAAGAUGAAUCAUUGGUUAUAGUCACAUUACUGCCAAACAUGAAGUAUUUAGAUAUAAGGCAUACAUAUGUUCGUAGGGAUGCUCUUGUGAGGAUUUUAAAGGGCUGCAAAAAACUUGUGCAUUUUGAUGUUAGAGACUGCCAACGUUUCAAGGGUGACGACGAUAUUUUGAAGCUUGCUUCUCAUAUUCCGAACUUCGUGUACGGUGAUUCAAGCGUGCCGGAAGAGGGCUCGGAUGAGAGCUGGAGUGAUGGUGACCGUAGUGAUGAUGAGUGGGAUGAUAAUGGCUUUACCAUCCACCCCGGCGGAAGUAGCAGACCCAUGUUUUUACAUGAUUACUGAUUCAAGUGCAAAGUUGCCAUGGGCUGGUAGCUGCAUAUAGUGUGCUCUGUCAAAGUAAUUUAUUUUCGUCCUCAUCUCCCUGAAAGGGUCAAAGCUUUGAUUAAUGGUUGGCUAAUUAUGAAAGAGUGUUUUCCAUUAUUUAUGAAAGAGGACUGUUAAACACAGUCGCACUUGCGACUGUAAAUCCGCCGUAAUCGCAUCUCCUAUCGGAUAGUUUAAUAUGAAUUUGACCUUUUUUUUUUUUUUUUUUUUUUUUUUUUAAGGUUGUUUUCACGUGUUUACAGUUACCAUGUUGGUUUUAGCGACUCUUUUCUCACUAUUUUUCUUUCAUUGCCUUACAGACUAAAAUGCUUUUAGACUCUAUUUGGAGAGGAUUUUAGACUCUAUUUGGAGAGGUUCAAUGCCGCCCAUAUUAUAUAUUGAUCCACCAAUGAAAAAAAGAAAAGAAAGAAAAAAAGUGUAAUACUAACAUAAAGUAUACACAAAAUUCAUGAUAUUAACAAAAAAUAAGAUGGACAAAAAAAAAAUAA